UACGGAGGGUGCGAGCGUUGUCCGGAAUCAUUGGGCGUAAAGGGCGCGUAGGUGGCGGGAUAAGCGUGCGGUGAAAGCUUGGGGCUCAACCCCGAGUCGGCCGUGCGAACUGUUCUGCUUGAGCACUGUAGAGGCAGGCGGAAUUCCGGGUGUAGCGGUGGAAUGCGUAGAGAUCCGGAAGAACACCGGUGGCGAAGGCGGCCUGCUGGGCAGUUGCUGACACUGAGGAGCGAAAGCGUGGGGAGCAAACAGG
rnacentral:rRNA from 1 species